rnacentral:miRNA from 1 species
GAAACGUUCACUCUGCUCUUCU